CUUCCUGCUCCACAAUCAGCCCAUCCUUCUUCCCAGGACCUGGAUGCAGAGGCCCGGCUAGAGCUCCCCUGUAGCUGUGUUGAGGACAUGCGGCAUUUGACCUGUGACCCCACAGGAAGUCUUUCUGACCUCUGAGGCGAACCUCAGGAGGAAAACCAUGACCCCACGAGGUCGCAGAGAAUGUUCACCGAGGAAGUGACAUCAGGGGCCUCAAUGGCCACCCCCUCCUCAAGAUUCCCCGCUGCUCCCAGCUGCCUGGGCCUCUCUCACAUGUCUGCGUGCUCCCCACACAAGCUUGCAGGGACGACAUUGCCGAGGACUAGAUCAGAGAAGGCACUUCAGAUGAUGCACGAAGAUGUCUCUCCCCAGCCGCGGCUCAUUCACUGGUUUGCUCACCAAACGCAAGGCGUGGACCAGAAUCAGGUGCCCAGCAGUGAGCAGAGGCAUCCCUGCCCUUGGGAACUUGCAGGGUGGGAGCCCGAUAGAUGCUGCGUGACUUCCCCUGCCCAACCACGAAUACAUGAACAAGACCCAGGGAGCGAAGGGAGGCCGGCUGGAGGGGCUGCGGCCGUGGCCAAUGCUUGCCCGCCCCCUCCACGCUCUGGAGGGGCACGAACCCUUGGUGUGCAGAUAGGUAUGAGUUUCAUUAGUGAGAACCAGAAAAAUGAGUCCUUGGGUGAAAGGGCAGGACCUCGGAUGUGUCAGCAAAGAGAAAAGGGCACACGCGGAGUGGAGGCCUGCGCUGUGAUGAGGUGCCACCUCCAUGCAAAGGCAGGAUUUCCUGGAUCUGAAGUGGGGAAGGUCCUCCAGAGGUCAUCCCGUCCAUCCCCCUGCCUCUGUGGACUUUCUCAGACAAAGAAGGUGGACUGGAUCCACAGCCCACUCUGUGUUUAACACCUCUUGCCUCAAGAGGCCCUUACCACUGUCAAGCGCCUCUACCCACGGAGAUGAGCAGAGCCUGGGAGUCGGGAGGGGAAGGGGAAGACACGCUGCCUCCAUCCUGUACUCUUGCCAGGCGGGGCCCUGGACUCUGUCUCUGGGGCUCUGCUUUCAUACCCUUUCUCCUAAGUUUUAUAUAUAUAUAUAUAUAAAGUUAUAUAUAUAUAUAUAAACUAGCUCAGUGUUCUUCGCCACAAAGCUAUCUCCCAGAAGAACUUUGCCUAAAAGAAAGUAUAUUUCUUACACACAAGAAGUAAGUGAGUCUAAGACGGACCACACUUCAGUGUUGCGAUGCAGGGGCCAGGGCAGGAAGCUUCCAGAUUUAUACCUAAGAGCAAUAAUGAAUCCAUUGUUAAAACUCACCAGCGUUGCUUUGUGCUGAACCCUCUGCGGGCGUUGCUCUGCCGGCCCUCGCAGCAGUCCCAGGAGGCAGGGAGGCUGCACUGGCCUCUGAGGUGAGCGGACAGCCGACCUGCCCAGCGUGGCGGACAGUGCUGUGUGCUCCCGAUCCCCAAGCCUGCGGCCUUGUCUUACAAGAAAAGGAAUUUCACAGAUGUGACUGAUUCAAGGAUCCUGAGAUGGGGAGGUCACCCCGGGUCAUCUGGCUGGGCCUGGGGAGUCCCAGAGGGCUUCAUGAGAAGAGUCGGAGAAGGAGGCGUGACAAAACAGAAAGUCCUGAAGCCGGGAGAGGGGGUCACCAGCCAAGGGAUAUGGGCGGCAUCCAGCAUCCAGAAAAGGCCGGGGAAGAGACUCCCCACUGCAGUUUCCAGAAAGAACACAGCGCUGCCAGUCCACGCGGGACUUCUGACCUGCAGAACGCUACGACAGUCACUUUGUGUUUAAAAGUUGGUAUUUGUUACAGCAGCAGAAACCGAUAGGACUGACAGACUAGCAGGUGAGGCCAGCAGAGUGAUGGGCACUGCCCCGGGGCAGGAAAAGAAAUCAGGUCAUCAAUCCUAUUCGGAACCAAGUCCGUCUCGGGGGUCCCCACCCUCCGGGUGAGUAUCGCCAGGUCCCACGCUCCCUGUCUGACCACUGGCUCCUGCCCCGUCCCCAGCUCCUGCCCCGGGCAGAGCCUCGCCCUUCCCUUCCUAUUCCUAGGACCACUGGGGACAUCUGAGAGCCAGCGGAGGAGUCAGGCCCCAGAGGGGUGCAUGCGCAGGAGAGAGAGGCGGAGAGCCCUCCGUGGGACGGCAUAUGAAGGAUUGGGCGAGAAGAUUGAGGUGCACAUGGUCACAGUAGCAUGUGACGGAGUCAACAUUCAAAUUCGGGGCAGCCCACUCCACAUGGCACCCAGAUUGUCCCGAUAAGUGUGCACGAAAAGGAACAGGAGCCGCCCAGCGUCCGGGGUCCUGGCUCCGGCUCCCUCUCAGCUCAGGCUCUGGCGCGGAAGUCGAGGCCGGCCUCCCAGCCCUGCUCUGCCCCUUCCCGGCCUGGAUGAAGGCUCCUUCGGCUCCUUCCCCUUCAGACUCCCAGUCUGCCCCUGUGGAACACGAUGGCAUCGGCACGUUCUUCCUGCAGUCCAGCGUCCACCCGUCCUGCAGGUCAGGCCCAUUUAUAAGAGCCAAGACAGACAGGAGAGAGGAUGUGGCUUCUCUCAGAGAGCGUAUUCUUGGUCUCUGGAACCAGGGUUUAAUUCUCUGACCAUGACAGCCAGGGCUGGCCAGUCACACGUCUUAACGGGAGAGCUUAAAUUACAGAGGACCAAGUUAGAGAAAAGAAAAAAACCCACACAAACAGCAAAACCCACCCGACUCCCAGCCACUCUACUGCAGCUGAUGGGUAAUUAUCUGCUGUUUGUGAGCAUUCAGGGCUCCAACCCCGACCGGCCAGGACGGUCAGCCUGGGCCUGGGCAGGAGGCCAACGAGCUGGUGCCAGGUUGAGACAAUUGUGUGGGGCCUGUCCAGACCCUCUCGACUUCUCUCCCCCUCUUCUGCCCCUCUGCUCCCCUCCAAUCAGGGGAGGGGCUGCCCUCUCUUGCCACCACCCCCUCCCCAACGCUCUGAGGAGAGAGGGAGUGAUUAGCACGGGGCAUUGUCCCCGGAUAAUGGGCCCCAGCUGCCGCUAGAAAGAAGAGACAAAGAG